AUUGAACGCUGGCGGCAGGCCUAACACAUGCAAGUCGAACGAGUGGCGGACGGGUGAGUAAUGUAUGGGAAACUGCCUGAUGGAGGGGGAUAACUACUGGAAACGGUAGCUAAUACCGCAUACCAUCAGCUGUGCCCAGAUGGGAUUAGCUUGUUGGUGGGGUAACGGAUCACCAAGGCGACGAUCCCUAGCUGGUCUGAGAGGAUGACCAGCCACACUGGACCUGAACAACGGUCCAGACUCCGACGGGAGGCAUCAGUGGGGAAUAUUGCACAUUGGGCGCAAGCCUUGUGCGGCCAUGCCGGGGGGUUGAAGAAGACCUUCGGGUUGUAAAGUACUUUCAGCGGGGAGACGUUACCCGCAGAGGAAGCGCCGGCUAACUACGUGCCAGCCGCCGCGGUAAUAC
rnacentral:rRNA from 1 species